UCNUCUGGCUUAACUGGGGGCUUGCGGUGGGUACGGGCCGGCUUGAGUGCGGUAGGGGAGACUGGAACUCCUGGUGUAGCGGUGGAAUGCGCAGAUAUCAGGAAGAACACCGGUGGCGAAGGCGGGUCUCUGGGCCGUUACUGACGCUGAGGAGCGAAAGCGUGGGGAGCGAACAGGAUUAGAUACCCUGGUAGUCCACGCCGUAAACGUUGGGCACUAGGUGUGGGGGGCCUUUUCCGGGUCUUCCGCGCCGUAGCUAACGCAUUAAGUGCCCCGCCUGGGGAGUACGGCCGCAAGGCUAAAACUCAAAGGAAUUGACGGGGGCCCGCACAAGCGGCGGAGCAUGCGGAUUAAUUCGAUGCAACGCGAAGAACCUUACCAAGGCUUGACAUGUGCCGGUCGGCUCCGGAGACGGGGCUUCCUCCUUGUGGGGCCGGUUCACAGGUGGUGCAUGGUUGUCGUCAGCUCGUGUCGUGAGAUGUUGGGUUAAGUCCCGCAACGAGCGCAACCCUUGUCCCGUGUUGCCAGCACGUUGUGGUGGGGACUCGCGGGAGACUGCCGGGGUCAACUCGGAGGAAGGUGGGGAUGACGUCAAAUCAUCAUGCCCCUUAUGUCUUGGGCUUCACGCAUGCUACAAUGGCCGGUACAGAGGGCUGCGAUACCGUGAGGUGGAGCGAAUCCCUUAAAGCCGGUCUCAGUUCGGAUCGGUGUCUGCAACUCGACACCGUGAAGUUGGAGUCGCAAGUAAUCGCAGAUCAGCAACGCUGCGGUGAAUACGUUCUCGGGCCUUGUACACACCGCCCGUCACGUCAUGAAGUCGGCAACACCCGAAGCCCGUGGCCCUACGG
rnacentral:rRNA from 1 species